rnacentral:lncRNA from 10 species
AAAGCCAGCUGGGCUCCUGAGUCCGGUGGGUACUUGGAGAACUUACUACGUCUAGCUGGAGGAUUGUAAAUGCACCAAUCAGCAUGCUGUGUCUAGCUCAAGAACUCAAGCUCCAUGAGGAGAUGUUUCAUUGUCGAGAGCAGUCAUGAUGGCCUGCACUCCACACAAUGCAACAGAGUGAAAGAGCAGGUUCUGCUUCUUUGGUGUAGUCCUGAAGCUUCCUAAGAAACUUCACAUCAGGUGAUGGAUAGGAGCAACCCUGUAAAACCAGCCUUAGACUAUUUUUCAAACAGAUGAAGUGUUUAUAAGUCAUCCCAAGGAAGAAACAAUUCAGAUGAGAACUAUUCAAUGGAUUUGCAAUAACAAUCCAAAGAUGGAAGAAGACACUUCUAGGUAGACAAAAUUGCAAGUAUAGAGAAUGUAAAUUAAGAGAGAGCUUAGCUUUCAGAUGAAUUAAAAGAUUGUGGUGAUCAGAAUGUAGAGAUUGACGAGAGACAAAUGAAAUAAAACUAGAAGGACAAGUAGAGAUUUGUGGGUCAAGUUUUAAAAUUUUAUUAUAAAUGCACUGAUACUGUUCUGAACAUUUUCUUACACAUGGAAAUUUAAUGAUUAUGGCUAUUGAAAAAUGUAACUCUUCAUUUAUAUUUUUCCGAGAAUGAAAUCGGUGGAAUUGCUGGGGGGUGAAAAUGUCCAAUGCGAAACAGGAGGCUAAUUUAAGAAGGGAUACUGCAAAAUUGGUCAUGAUGGCUCAAACUGCUGUUCAUAAUAGAGAGAAGAAAAUGGAUAGAGUUACAUAUGGAUGAGAGUAAAUUGACAAGGCUAAAUGCUAAAACGUGGGUAGUGACAGAAAGUAGGUGUCAAAAUAGACUUCCAGGAAAAGAAAAAAUGGGUCUACAAAAGAGCCAAAUGCUGAUGUGGGUUACAUGAUCCUGAGCAGAUGCAGAUGUAAUUGGUUAAGUAAAGUAAGUUCUUAAGAUAGAUUUGGCCUGGCGCUAUACAUUCUAGAGCCCCUGAAUAUAAGUGGGAUAUAAAACCAUGGGAAUGACUGUAUUUGUCUAAGGAGAGAAUUUGGCAGAAGAAAAGGAGACAUAAGAUGAAAUGCAGAGGAAAUUCAAAUUUAAUUGGCAGGUGUAGGAAGACAAGGAGAUGACAAAAGGAACUGGAAAUGAGUAAUCAGAGACAGAAAAGUAAAAGUAAGAGUAGAAUGUCAUGGAAGGCAAAUAAUUGGAAUGUUUCAAGAACAGGGAAAUGGGCAAUAAAGAGAAGAAAAAAAUAGUGACCAGAGGGUAUAGUAAUGUGUAGAAAUUCAUCCUGUGUUAGGUUUGAUUGCUUAGACGUUUUAUAUAAAAAUCUUUCCCAGAGAGUAAUAAAACAGAAGUGAGGUUAGAGAAAGAACAUACGAUUUAGCCAAAAGGUGG